UUUUUUUUUUUUUUUUGCUUUUUGCCAAAAAUUUUAUUGUUUAGUGUUUGGGUCCAUACUGCUUUUAUGAGUUGUAAUACUCACCCCAAAGGUUUGCAGCUUCGUAUUUGAAGCUAGAGGCCCCGGAUGUAUUGGCAGGAACAAACAACUCCAGGUGUGUUGCCUUAAGAACUCUAACACUCACCACGGAGGUUUGUAGCUUCACUCGUGAACCAGCGAUACCAUGAACCCCCCAGAAGGCAGAAAUUGCUAACAUAUCUGCAUAUAGGAAGGAACAAACGGGGCGCGCUCCCGCACACGCCGCCUUUAAGAAGCUGCACCAUUCUCUGCAAGGGUCCACUGCUUUAUUCUGACCCAGCGUCUGUUCACCCCAUGGGGCCACGCCAUUCCAGGAGCCACAGGAAGCCAGCACUGCUAGGUUGACCUCAGUCCUUUAGCCAGGACACAGCUGUGGGCACUAUGCGGUUGCCGCUGGGUUCAAGGUAGGACCUUCUUCACGUAUAAAGGGAGAAAAAGUGAAGGAAUGGUUCCUUUUUCCAACUACUGAUUUCUCCUCUGCUUGUGGUAGCUGUGUGGGGAUAGUAAGGGGAUCGUUUUAAGAAAAACCUACAAGGUGGGCAUGGCAGUGUUCUGGGUCCCUGAUGUCACUGGGUCGCUUGUAAUCAAUCUCCAGCCUUCAGCCUGGGGCUGAAGUAAUAAGAAAUGCCACCGCUUCUCUGACAUAUCCAUGUCUGAGGUUUUGAUUUGCUUUUGGCAAACAGGCACAGAAGUUUUAAGUUCAGCCUAGGAAAGUCUCUGCUUGUUCCAGAGUGUUCCAGAGUCAGUUCCAGGUAGUAGUAGGGUAAACAGGCUUGGGGGUGUGCGGACGAGGCCAGGAGCCAAGAUGUCAUUCGGGGAUGGCCAAGCUGUAGGCGCAAGGCAGCCCUGACUAUGGGGCUGGAGUGCGUCCGUGAUGAGGUGGUGUGCCUGGCAACUUGCAGGUGCUUUUGGGAGGACCUGGGGCAAAUUCUUUAGUUCUUCCAUGGCUGUUUCCACAAAUGUGAAAUGGCGAUAAUAGAGCCCACCUCAGAUUAAAUAGAUUCCCAUGUGUAAGGCAGUCAUGGUGCUGGGUGUCAAAUGUGCUACAUUAUAACUGACCUGUGGCCAUUUCUUUUUUUUCUUGAAAGAAAUUAAAAAUAGCUAUAAUUUAAUGAACACAUGAAUGGUUGGGCAUUACACAAUAUGCUGGAUAAAUGUUGCUUAAAUUCACCCAGCUUGGUCUCACUUUCUGAGGCUUCCUACCAUUUUUGAACUAUCCCAAAUGCCUUUGUCCUGAGCCAGUUUCCCCAGAGACUCGAAGCAUCUGACACUAAAAGUCAUGUAGCUCAGCUUCAAUGAAUGCACAAAUGCGCCAGCCAGCAUCCCAGGAGAUGACUGCUACAGCCAGGGCUGAACACCUAGUGGGCCUCCCAUCCUGGAAUGGGAAGGGCCAGGGGAAAGGACUCUGAGAACACAGGGGGCUACUGCGUUACGAAGCAAAACCUUUAGUGGAAGGGAUGGCAGUGCUACCAAUGGAACUGAGCAGUGUGUCUGCUCCAGCAUGGAGUGCCCCCCUCCCCUCCUUGGGUGCACCUGCGUGUGUCCUCCUUGUCUCUCCAUGUGGUUGACCUGGGGAGAAGAACCUACAGCUGCUCUCGGCACGACUCCAGGGGAGCUGGGAGACAGACACACAAGCUCACUCAAGGAAACAGCAGGAAGCCAUAGCCUGCUACGGUGAAAGUCCAUGUGGGGUCCUGGCCAGAUCCCAGGGACCUGGGGAUGUUGGCAAGGCAAGGGUGCCUUUUUCUGAGCAGUGCUUUUGGUGAACUUAGCAUCCUCAUCACCUGGGUCCCUUGUCAGUUACAAUUAACGUGUGCGAUCUGGAUUUCCAAUAACUCCCAGCAUUUCUGCAGUCGUUACUGGUCUGCUAAGAAAUCUCUGAGGACUCUCUGUGGCUCACUGAAUUAAAUGCAGCUUUUGAUGGGAUUUUGGAACUGGUGACACAGCUGCCUCUGGCAAGGAUCAGACACACGGCCAGCUGCCCUUUGCACACAGAGCCCUGAGCCACGGUCUGCGUGUGAGCCUGACUCGUUUCUGGCACAGACUCACCCUGUGAUGCUCCGGGGGCCAGCUGGGAAUGCCGCUGCUGCCUCUUUCAGGAGGCCAGCCCCCAGCGCUGCCUCCACGGGCCAGUAGGGCAGGGACGCUGAUGAGUGCCCGUUCUUGCUUCUCAAGCUCUUAAGGCAACAAUUCCAUUACCAUCGCUAGUUCUCGCUCCAGCACAGGGAGGACGGAAUGGCUCUGCCUGUCAUCAGAUGAGGGGAGUCCACUCAGGGCUGUUAGUCCUUUAGCAAAGGCCACAGAUGGGUGAGCAGCAGAAACGACAUGGGAGCUGAGGCCGGGACCCACAGCCAACGUGCUUUUGCUCCAUCAAUUGAGAUGAUCAGUUUUUCUUUUUUAAAAAAAUCUUUUCAGAAGAUGAAUUACAUUCGUUAAUUUUCAAACGUUGAACCAACCUUUCACUUCUGGGCCUCUGGAAUUGAUGAACUUUCUCUGAGCUGUGACCCAGGUGGAUGGAUGUCAGAAAGCAUAUUCCGCUGGAAGGAAGAGCUGAGCAGUAGUGAAGUCAAGGACAUACAGAGCCAGAGUGUGAACAUGAGUCCUGCUACUUACUGCCUUGCAGUCUUACGGAAGUCACCAACCUCUCUCUAAGCCCUGAUUCCUUCCUCUGCUAAAUGGACGUGGCGGUAAGCUAGCCCACAUGUAUCAUAAGGCUGUUGUGAGGAUUCAACGAGGCACUUCAUGGUGUGCCUCGCACAUGGUAAGUCCCCAGCAAACAGAAUUAGCAGGACCUGACAGAUGGUUUCUGACAAUGUGUUUACCAAUACAGGGUUAACCAGAAUGUAAGUAUUUUGGGUGUUAACAGUAGAAAUAUGAAAAUGUUGAAAUAAAGACACUUAGGGAAAAAUGUCAAGUAAAUUACAACUUACAUUAAAGGCAGAUUCUUUAUUGGCUGAAUGUGCUGUAGUAGAUAUUUAAAAUAUCACAAACAUUCAUGAUUGCAGUUUUUAAACUUAGCUCACAGUUGAGUUAGAUACAACAGUUAACAUACUUAGGAAAGACAAUUCUUAACAGCUUUAUCAAGCACAUUUGUGAAAGAUUAAACUUUCAUUUCCAGUUACCAUGAUGUCCCCCCAUACACCAAAUGAACCAACACAUUUAUUUAUUUUAAAUAAUGGAAACUGUACAUGGCUACACUGUGCUCUAAAAUUACUUGCAUUAAUGAGGACAUUAAUUUUAGCAUUUAAAAAAAGAGAUUUAAAAAUAACCAUAGAAAAACUUGAAAACCCUGACAAGCCGACUACAAAGAGAAUUCCUCUCUGAAAAUUUUCAGAUGCGACGGUAUGAGGGAGUUGGGUGGGCCGCUGACUCUGAGAGAAGUCCCGGUGACCUGAACCUAUUCCAGUGAAGCCAGUCAGCAGUGAAUGUGGGGCAAGUGCAUGCGGCUGGUCUACAGCUCCCAUUGCCUGGUGACCAAGGAGCAUCCUGAAGUUUCAGAGAAGAGACUGUGUGACAGCAGCAUUGUUCCAGCUACUGAGCAAGAUCCUUCAGCAGGUAAGAAGUGGCAGAGACAGUCACCUGCUGAAGGAGCGGGCAGGGAGUUGGCCGUCCACGCGGAGCCUGGCCUUUCCGUUAGGGGACCCUGAAGUCUGCGACCGCCCCGCCAACACCUCAGAGUGUAACACAGUGCCCGUUACACAUUCACACUCCAUCACAGAUAACACACAGGGCCUCAGGGACUGCAACACGUGCAUGUGUAGUGACGCACGACAAAUUAAGAGUGAGUGAGAAUGAAAGCUCAUGCUUAGCCCUGUGAAAAAUAAAAAUCAGAUAGCAAAACGCAAAGUUAAAUCACAGACACCUGGACCACAAAUAAUCUACCCCAGUUGUAAUAUGUAUUUUAAUGGAGACCAUAAAUUUUUCCAAAAACCCGCUUGAAUUAGAAAACUUAAGGCCAUUUAUAUGAAAUGAGGGUUUUAAGCACAGCUGUACAGUUUAGGACAGUAAGAGCUCCAAAGAUGUCUACAUAGCUUUCCAAAUCUCGUAUCAGUCAGUCUCUCCGUGUGUCGUGGGAGCUGCCUGCGCUUCCGUGAACGGGACACUGAGAAAUGCUUCAAUAUGUGCCACGCCAUUCCAGAAAACUCCCUGCAGAAGCAGCUCUUCCUGCAGCACUCAACCUUCUGCUGAGAUGCAAAAUAUAUUUUAAAAUGUAUUUUAAAGUCAUACAGGAUCUGAUCUAGUAAGAAUGGCAAAACAAAUACUUCCUGGGCAUUUCAAAUGAGGUCAUUUUGGUUGAAAUGUAUAC
rnacentral:lncRNA from 1 species